GGCGGCAUGCCUUACACAUGCAAGUCGAGCGGCAGCGCGGGGGCAACCCUGGCGGCGAGCGGCGCACAGGUGAGUAAUGCAUCGGAACGUGUCCUCUUGUGGGGGAUAACCAGUCGAAAGACUGGCUAAUACCGCAUGAGAUCGAGAGAUGAAAGCAGGGGACCCGCAAGGGCCUUGCGCGAGAGGAGCGGCCGAUGCCCGAUUAGCUAGUUGGCGGGGUAAAAGCCCACCAAGGCGACGAUCGGUAGCUGGUCUGAGAGGACGACCAGCCACACUGGGACUGAGACACGGCCCAGACUCCUACGGGAGGCAGCAGUGGGGAAUUUUGGACAAUGGGGGCAACCCUGAUCCAGCCAUGCCGCGUGUGUGAAGAAGGCCUUCGGGUUGUAAAGCACUUUCGGACGGAACGAAAUCGCACGAUCUAACAAGUCGUGCGGAUGACGGUACCGUAAGAAGAAGCACCGGCUAACUACGUGCCAGCAGCCGCGGUAAUAC
rnacentral:rRNA from 1 species